CCGCACCUGAGGAGAAAACUUCCUGCCAUGCAGAUGGUCAGGGGGUGAACGGCCCCGGGAGUUUGUGCAGCUGCAUCUGUGGGGACUUUGGAGAGCAGUACAAGGAGCCCUGGACAGCAUGGCCUGACCUCAGAGUUGAGGCUGCUUUAGGGAGGCCCCUUCUCAGCUGAAUUCUCCUGUGCUUCCAUGUGCUUGGCUUUGCUUUCACGGAGCUUGUAGGAAAGGGGGCAGAGCUGUUUUGGGAGCAAGCAGGGGAAAAAUGAUGCAGGAUCAGACAUGUUUCAGAUUAAAUUUUGGAUGCCUUAGGACUGCUCUUGUGGUUCCUGGAACCCAUGAGGCUCACCUGGAGGAAGAGAAUCUGCACUUGCAGAAGGAGUUGGACAGGGUUGACACUAAGGUAUGGAAAGCCUGUCCCUACAGGGAUAAACCUAGGGGUGCCAGCUGCUCCCUAUACAUCAUGAAAACAGAAAAAACAGUCUUCUGGGAGCCAGGAUGACAGAGACCCAAGGAAGCAGCAGUUACAUCGGGCUUUGAUCUGCCUCUGUCCCUCCGGCCCCUGCCCCACAACCCGCCAUGCUGAGGCAGAGCUGCCUCUGCUGAGGGUUUCACAGCUUGCCGGUCAGGGGGGCUGGGGCUCCUCUCUCUCUGCUACAUUCGAGGUCUUCCUGGUUUAAGAAGACUCCCCACGCACUCCUGGUGCGAUUUUCGACUCCAGAGCAGGUGUGUGGAGCAGUUCACCUGGCUGCCCUGGCUGAAAUGGUGGCCAUCAGCUUGUCAGUGAUGCCAUCCUUCCUGGCCCCACCACACUGAAGCAGAGCUGCCUCUCCUCAGGCAUCCACUGCUUCCUGCUCCGGGGCUGCUGGGUGCCUCUCUCUGCACUUCACUCAGGGCUUUUCCCACUUCAGAAAGCUCCCCAUGCUCCCCUGGUGCAAUCCUGGGCUCCAGAGCACAUGUGCCGGAGCAGUUCACCUCUGACCCUUGCCAGACGCCUUCCUUUAGGAAGAUGAACUAUUCCAUGCACCUUUUCAUGGAGUAGCAAGCAAGGCAAUACAAGGAGUGUCACAGGUCACAAAAAAGGUCGGAGGGGCAGUGUGGGUGCUUAGAACUGUGCUGUAGGAAAUCAGUGGAGGGAUGGGAGAGGCUGCUGUUAAAGAGGACAAAGGAAUACAGCUGGUGUUCAUUUGGGAGCAGAAGUGAAGCUCUGAAGGCACUUGAAUGGAUUGCAGUUCUCUGGGCAGAGGGUGUGCACACACACAGCAGCACAGCAGGCCUUUGGCAGCAGCUGGCUCCUCUAUGGGAAAGCUCACCUGACAACUGUGGGUUCUUCCCAUGAUUUUACAGUUGCAGGAGGAGGAGGAAAAGCAUCUUCAGUCUGAGCAUUGUGUUGCUGACUUGGAGGAAAAGCAUCUUCAGUCUGAGCAUUGUGUUCCUGACUUGAAGACUGCCUUGGGUUAUAAGGAAAGAGAAGCAAGAGCUUCUUCCCAGAAACUGCAGAACAUCCUGUUGGCAUCUUCUGAGACUGAUAGUGCUCCAAAACAAGUGGAAGAACACGAGCAACACUCUCAAAGUGAAAACACCAGACUGGAAACCACUGUCCAACAGCUGAGAGAUUGCGUUGAAGCCCUUCAGAGAGACCUGCAAGCCUCUGCCUCAGUUGGUGAACUUUCCCAGCAGCUGGACAUGGAGCCUAAAACAGGCAUGCAGCUGGAAGCCCAAAAACCAGGAUUUGAAAGAAAAGCUGUCCACUCUGCAUGGGAUGUGUGAACAACUGGAGGUGGACAAAUGGCAGCUGCAUGAAGAGGUGAAAAAACUCUACCAUCAUUUGAAGAAUUUCACGCUGGAUGGCAGCCAAACAAAACAAUGUGAAAGAGAUGUGGAAGAACAAGCUAGACGAGGAAAUAACACAAAAGCUACAAGAAGUCAAUCAGUUUUUGCAAGCACAGACAGCCUACCAGCACCAAUUAGGGCAAAUUGGAGACAGGAAUUGUAAUUCAAUGAGACACCAGCUGGAAGAAAGAAUUAGAGAUCUCAAAAGUGAAUUGGACAGCGUUAAAAAAGCCCAACAAGAGAGUGCUUGUUGUAAAGAGGCAACACAGGGAGAAAUGGAAAUGUACAAAGGACUGUACCUGGAGGAACUGAGAACCAGAAGAUGCCUCACAAAGAAACUGCAAAGGUAA